UACGAAGGGGGCAAGCGUUGUUCGGAAUCAUUGGGCGUAAAGCGUAUGUAGGCGGCUGGAUAAGUCGGGCGUGCAAGCCCGCGGCUCAACCGCGGAAUUGCGCUCGAAACUGUCCAGCUUGAGUGUAGGAGAGGAAAGCGGAAUUCCCAGUGUAGCGGUGAAAUGCGUUGAUAUUGGGAAGAACACCAGUGGCGAAGGCGGCUUUCUGGCCUACAACUGACGCUGAGAUACGAAAGCCAGGGGAGCGAACGGG
rnacentral:rRNA from 1 species